rnacentral:rRNA from 1 species
CCUACGGGAGGCAGCAGUGGGGAAUUUUGGACAAUGGGCGCAAGCCUGAUCCAGCCAUGCCGCGUGCAGGACGAAGGCCUUCGGGUUGUAAACUGCUUUUGUACGGAACGAAAAGGUCUUUUUUAAUAAAGAGGGCCCAUGACGGUACCGUAAGAAUAAGCACCGGCUAACUACGUGCCAGCAGCCGCGGUAAUACGUAGGGUGCAAGCGUUAAUCGGAAUUACUGGGCGUAAAGCGUGCGCAGGCGGUAAUGUAAGACAGAUGUGAAAUCCCCGGGCUCAACCUGGGAACUGCAUUUGUGACUGCAUUGCUGGAGUGCGGCAGAGGGGGAUGGAAUUCCGCGUGUAGCAGUGAAAUGCGUAGAUAUGCGGAGGAACACCGAUGGCGAAGGCAAUCCCCUGGGCCUGCACUGACGCUCAUGCACGAAAGCGUGGGGAGCAAACAGGAUUAGAUACCCUGGUAGUCCACGCCCUAAACGAUGUCACUGUUGUUGGUCUUCAUNUAUCAGUACGAGACACGCGUGAGUGACGCGNGGAGGACGGCGCGAGUAGAACGUACGAAGUAGAGUUAGUACGGACGUGAGACGUUGCGACGGACGACGACGAGGGAGGAGG